CUUGAUUAAACCAUAAGAGGUCCAGCCUGCCCAGUGACAUUGUUCAACGGCCGCGGUAUCCUAACCGUGCGAAGGUAGCGUAAUCACUUGUCCUUUAAAUGAAGACUAGUAUGAAUGGCCCCACGAAAGCUAUACUGUCUCCUUUUUCUAAUCAGUUAAACUAAUCUCCCCGUGAAGAAGCGGGGAUAAACAUAUAAGACGAGAAGACCCUAUGGAGCUUUAAACAACUGAAACACUUGUAUACCUCCCUCCUCCUACCCACAUUUAACCCCACAUCUUGUUUCUAGUUUUAGGUUGGGGUGACCACGGAGAAAAAACUAACCUCCACGAUGAAAGAGACAUCUCUAAACAAAAAGACACAUCUUUAUGUAUUAAUACAUUAACCUUUAUUGACCCA
rnacentral:rRNA from 1 species